UCUUGUGGCAUUCUGUAAAAAGCAUCGCAUUGCCCGUUUUUGGGGCACCCUUGUCUGCGACCGAAGGCAGCACAGAAAAGAGGACAAGCUGAUCUUGGAUUUGACUCUGGGAGGUGUAGCAUGGACGUGGUUCCAAGACGAAGCUUGGGUUUCUCUCUCUGCUGGCCUGUUGCUGUCAGUCUGGGCGCCUGCUUUGGUUCACAGCUCCCUGGGCAGAGCGCGAGAGCCACGCAGGAAAGACUUACAGCAGGAAAUACCUCACCGAUAGUCACCCCACAGGGACCGUAAGACGAACAAAUGAAAAAAAAUAACAGGGAUGGAGGAGAGGAGGAUGAGGUACAGGUCUGGAAAUGCUUUCAGCAAAACAGGGCCCUGAAUGGCUCUUUAAUUAGAGUUAUAUGAGACGUUGUAUAGCGUUGCUUUCCACAUGAUCAGCUCACUUUUGCUUAUUUCUCCAGUCACUAAAUUGGCGAGCAAUUGGCUCUGCAUUCCCAAGCCCCUCGUGUCCCAUCGAAUGGAGGAAUGGUGGGAUCCCACAGGCCACAUUAAAGAUCAAUGAAAAAAGAAACAACACAAGUAGAACGCAUUGUAGAUGCAGAGACGGAGAGAGAACAGGCCCGUGGUGUGUGUUUUCCCUCUGGCUGCCGAGCGCCGGGCCACACAGGCACAGGACACCACGGAGAAAAGACAAGAGUGUGAGACACUGCGCACAAUCCGGGACCUUUAUUACCGUUUCAUGCUGACCUCUCUGCAUAUAAACACACCUUUUGUCUCAUUUUCAUAC